ensembl:ncRNA W02B8.9 ncRNA
GCGUCCAGACACCUUCUGGAUUAAUUUGGAACUUCCUAAUAGGUGGCCUGCCCUCUUCACUCUUCCAAUGAUCAGCUUCCAUAUGUGAAAUUCGUUGAAAUUCCAUUUCUAAGUGCGCCGGUGGGGGCCUCCUCGGGGCUGAUAACAUUUUGAUCGCUAAUUGACUUGCACACACUUGA